UACGUAGGGUGCAAGCGUUGUCCGGAAUCAUUGGGCGUAAAGAGCGUGUAGGCGGCCCGAUAAGUCCGCUGUGAAAGUCCAGGGCUCAACCCUGGAAUGCCGGUGGAUACUGUCGGGCUCGAAUCCGGAAGAGGUGAGUGGAAUUCCUGGUGUAGCGGUGAAAUGCGCAGAUAUCAGGAAGAACACCAAUGGCGAAAGCAGCUUUCUGGGACGGUACUGACGCUGAGACGCGAAAGCGUGGGGAGCGAACGGG
rnacentral:rRNA from 1 species